rnacentral:rRNA from 1 species
GACGAACGCUGGCGGCGUGCUUAACACAUGCAAGUCGAACGGUAAGGCCUUUCGGGGUACACGAGUGGCGAACGGGUGAGUAACACGUGGGUGAUCUGCCCUGCACUUCGGGAUAAGCCCGGGAAACUGGGUCUAAUACCGGAUAGGACUGCGCGGUGCAUGCCGUGUGGUGGAAAGAUUUAUCGGUGCAGGAUGGGCCCGCGGCCUAUCAGCUUGUUGGUGGGGUAAUGGCCUACCAAGGCGACGACGGGUAGCCGGCCUGAGAGGGCGACCGGCCACACUGGGACUGAGACACGGCCUAGACUCCUACGGGAGGCAGCAGUGGGGAAUAUUGCACAAUGGGCGCAAGCCUGAUGCAGCGACGCCGCGUGAGGGAUGACGGCCUUCGGGUUGUAAACCUCUUUCAGCAGGGACGAAGCGUGAGUGACGGUACCUGCAGAAGAAGCACCGGCCAACUACGUG